rnacentral:ncRNA from 1 species
GCCCAAUUUCGCACGUGCCUGUGGUCGUGUGUCAGUCGGUGGGUAUCCGGACAAGAGGCCGGACAGCCGCCAAGGGGAUGAAGAGCCGAGGGCUACUCACGGGACAUCGGUCCCACCGGGUGGCCAGCACCUCUCUCAAGAGGUGCCGUUGAAGGGGCUUCUCUCCUUGCAACCGUGACUGACAGCCGGAGGCGAACCGGCGCACCCCGCUCUCAACGGGGGACGCGACUUAAAGCAACGACGGAACGGGCUUUU